UUCGGGAGGGGAUUAGUGGCGAACGGGUGAGUAACACGUGGGCAAUCUGCCCUGCACUCUGGGACAAGCCCUGGAAACGGGGUCUAAUACCGGAUACUGAUCAUCUUGGGCAUCCUUGGUGAUCGAAAGCUCCGGCGGUGCAGGAUGAGCCCGCGGCCUAUCAGCUUGUUGGUGAGGUAAUGGCUCACCAAGGCGACGACGGGUAGCCGGCCUGAGAGGGCGACCGGCCACACUGGGACUGAGACACGGCCCAGACUCCUACGGGAGGCAGCAGUGGGGAAUAUUGCACAAUGGGCGAAAGCCUGAUGCAGCGACGCCGCGUGAGGGAUGACGGCCUUCGGGUUGUAAACCUCUUUCAGCAGGGAAGAAGCGAAAGUGACGGUACCUGCAGAAGAAGCGCCGGCUAACUACGUGCCAGCAGCCGCGGUAAUACGUAGGGCGCGAGCGUUGUCCGGAAUUAUUGGGCGUAAAGAGCUCGUAGGCGGCUUGUCGCGUCGGUUGUGAAAGCCCGGGGCUUAACCCCGGGUCUGCAGUCGAUACGGGCAGGCUAGAGUUCGGUAGGGGAGAUCGGAAUUCCUGGUGUAGCGGUGAAAUGCGCAGAUAUCAGGAGGAACACCGGUGGCGAAGGCGGAUCUCUGGGCCGAUACUGACGCUGAGGAGCGAAAGCGUGGGGAGCGAACAGGAUUAGAUACCCUGGUAGUCCACGCCGUAAACGGUGGGCACUAGGUGUGGGCGACAUUCCACGUCGUCCGUGCCGCAGCUAACGCAUUAAGUGCCCCGCCUGGGGAGUAC
rnacentral:rRNA from 1 species